rnacentral:rRNA from 1 species
GACGAACGCUGGCGGCGUGCUUAACACAUGCAAGUCGAACGGAAAGGCCCUGCUUUUGUGGGGUGCUCGAGUGGCGAACGGGUGAGUAACGCGUGAGUAACCUGCCCUUGACUUUGGGAUAACUUCAGGAAACUGGGGCUAAUACCGGAUAGGAGCUCCUGCUGCAUGGUGGGGGUUGGAAAGUUUCGGCGGUUGGGGAUGGACUCGCGGCUUAUCAGCUUGUUGGUGGGGUAGUGGCUUACCAAGGCUUUGACGGGUAGCCGGCCUGAGAGGGUGACCGGCAAACGUGGGAGUGAGAUACGGCCCGGACGGCUACGGGAGGCAGCAGUGGGGAGUGUUGGAUAAUGGGCGGAAGCCUGAUGCAGCAACGCGGCGUGGGGGAUGACGGAGUGCGGGUUGUAAAACGCGUGCGCCUGUGACGAAGCGUGAGUGACGGUAAUGGGUAAAGAAGCACCGGAUAACUACGUG